GCACCUGUGGUGAAAUUGGUAUACACGCUACCUUGAGGUGGUAGUGGCCGAAAGGCUGUGCUAGUUCGAGUCUAGUCAGGUGCACCA
rnacentral:tRNA from 1 species